AUUGGACGCUGGCGGCAGGCCUAACACAUGCCAGUCGAGCGGAUGAAGGGAGCUUGCUCCUGGAUUCAGCGGCGGACGGGUGAGUAAUGCCUAGGAAUCUGCCUGGUAGUGGGGGAUAACGUCCGGAAACGGGCGCUAAUACCGCAUACGUCCUGAGGGAGAAAGUGGGGGAUCUUCGGACCUCACGCUAUCAGAUGAGCCUAGGUCGGAUUAGCUAGUUGGUGGGGUAAAGGCCUACCAAGGCGACGAUCCGUAACUGGUCUGAGAGGAUGAUCAGUCACACUGGAACUGAGACACGGUCCAGACUCCUACGGGAGGCAGCAGUGGGGAAUAUUGGACAAUGGGCGAAAGCCUGAUCCAGCCAUGCCGCGUGUGUGAAGAAGGUCUUCGGAUUGUAAAGCACUUUAAGUUGGGAGGAAGGGCAGUAAGUUAAUACCUUGCUGUUUUGACGUUACCAACAGAAUAAGCACCGGCUAACUACGUG
rnacentral:rRNA from 1 species